UUCCGUAGGUGAACCUGCGGAWGGAUCAUUACCUAGAGUUGUAGGCUUUGCCUGCUAUCUCUUACCCAUGUCUUUUAAGUACCUUACGUUUCCUCGGCGGGUCCGCCCGCCGAUUGGACAAUUUAAACCAUUUGCAGUUGCAAUCAGCGUCUGAAAAAACUUAAUAGUUACAACUUUCAACAACGGAUCUCUUGGUUCUGGCAUCGAUGAAGAACGCAGCGAAAUGCGAUAAGUAGUGUGAAUUGCAGAAUUCAGUGAAUCAUCGAAUCUUUGAACGCACAUUGCGCCCCUUGGUAUUCCAUGGGGCAUGCCUGUUCGAGCGUCAUUUGUACCUUCAAGCUCUGCUUGGUGUUGGGUGUUUGUCUCGCCUCUGCGUGUAGACUCGCCUCAAAACAAUUGGCAGCCGGCGUAUUGAUUUCGGAGCGCAGUACAUCUCGCGCUUUGCACUCAUAACGACGACGUCCAAAAGUACAUUUUUACACUCUUGACCUCGGAUCAGGUAGGGAUMCCCRCUGAACUUAAGCAUAUCAAUAAGCGGAGGA
rnacentral:rRNA from 1 species